CGGGGUGAGUAACGCGUGGGUAACCUGCCCUGUACACACGGAUAACAUACCGAAAGGUAUGCUAAUACGGGAUAACAUAAGAAAUUCGCAUGUUUUUCUUAUCAAAGCUCCGGCGGUACAGGAUGGAUCCGCGUCUGAUUAGCUAGUUGGUGAGGUAACGGCUCACCAAGGCGACGAUCAGUAGCCGACCUGAGAGGGUGAUCGGCCACAUUGGAACUGAGACACGGUCCAA
rnacentral:rRNA from 1 species